ACUUUUAUUUUACCAUUUUUAUUUGAUUUCUACACUACAUUAGGAAAAAAUAUUUGGGUAAUGCAAAGUUUAUUUUCACAACAAGAUACUUUUCACGCACGGCAUCGGUUGAAAUAAAUUAUAAAAAUAUACGUAGUAAAUACACAGUCAUUCUCUGUUUUAGUUUGGUGCUAAUUUUUUUUUUUUUUUUUUUUAUACCCAAUAGAGUAUAAGCAAUGAAUUAACCAAUCAUGUUUCAUUUACCUUUAUAUAAGUAAAGAAUUUCAAAUAUUGAUACAAGGGUUUAAAAGAUUAUUGAAUUUGACACAGAUUCCAAAAUAAAUUUUUAAAUAAGGACAUUAUAAAAGAUUCCUAAAAUGACAGGUGCCGUACUUCAAGCCGUUAUCUUACUCAAUUUGAUUAUCUUCUCGUGGACAAUAACAAACUGCGAAUAUUUUAGAUGGAGUGGUUGUUUUGAACCACAAGUUAGCAAAGACGAAAAGAUCAAUGAGUUUGUUACAAAGAUUGGGGAGUUAUUUAAAUUAAAAUUGCAAGGAAAAAACACAAAUGGAUAAAAAAGAGCGUUUAAAAGACUUAACAAUUAAAAGAACUAAUUACGAGUCUUACGAGAUUUACAGGUCUUACGAGAAUCACAAGAAUUUCAGAACCGAGUUAAAGUAUUAAUUUUGAUUAAUUUAUUAACUAAAAAACAUA